GUAGGUGAACCUGCGGAAGGAUCAUUAUUGAAUAAGCUUGGUUGGGUUGUUGCUGGCUCUUAGGAGUAUGUGCACGCCUAACACCAACUUUUACCACCUGUGCACCUUCUGUAGACCUGGAAAAACUCUCGAGGAAACUCGGUUUGAGGACUGCUGUGCGCAAGCCGGCUUUCCUUGUAAUUCCGGUCUAUGUUUUUAUAUAUACCCCUACCAGUAUGUCUCAGAAUGUUUGUUGUUGGGCUUGAAUGCCUUUAAACUUAAUACAACUUUCAACAACGGAUCUCUUGGCUCUC
rnacentral:misc_RNA from 1 species